rnacentral:rRNA from 1 species
CCUACGGGAGGCAGCAGUGGGGAAUAUUGGGCAAUGGGCGCAAGCCUGACCCAGCAACGCCGCGUGAAGGAAGAAGGCCCUCGGGUUGUAAACUUCUUUUGUCAGGGACGAAACAAAUGACGGUACCUGACGAAUAAGCCACGGCUAACUACGUGCCAGCAGCCGCGGUAAUACGUAGGUGGCAAGCGUUAUCCGGAUUUACUGGGUGUAAAGGGCGUGUAGGCGGGAGAGCAAGUCAGGUGUGAAAUUCCAGGGCUCAAGCCUGGAACUGCAUUUGAAACUGUUUUUCUUGAGUGAUGGAGAGGCGGGGGGAAGUGGGGGUGUAGCGGUGAAAGGCGUAGAUAGACGGAGGAA